UAACGCCAAGGAAACAAAUAAUUCUCAGCGCUAAUUGACAAUUUAUUUCAAAUUUUCUUUCAACAAGGACAUUUAAUAAUUGGAAAAUUUUCGAUAUGAAUUUCUUUAAAAUGGAUCCGAGUGUCGCGAAACUCUUUUUAUAUACCUUUUUAUGUAUAGUCAGUUCAUUUACAACAGCUGCCAAUGAAGAGAAGACCUUUGAUUGCAGCUAUGAUAACGUCACUGUGAUUGUCGGUAGCUUGUUGUUUUUGGCAUCGGCGGCAUUUUUGUGCUAGUUGCUGAUGCAGCGAAUGAAUAAAUAGAGCGGCAAAAAUCAAUUUACAACAGAAAAAUGUUUUGGAAAAUACAAAUAUAAAUACUAAUAAUUUUUAGAACCGAACGUAGUGAACUUCUUACACUAAAGUGUAUUAGCACAACAAAUUUUAUCAACAGCUUUUAUUGUGAAUGUACCCCUAUAGAAGGUGAUGCAGACUAUUGGACCAGUAGACAAUUUUUUUUACACUAAAAUAAAUGUUUAAAAGUCA